CGAUCCUCCCAACACCUCUAUGAGAUAGAUUAUUAAUAUCUACAUUUUACAGCUGGGAAAACUGAGGCAGAAAUCAAGUGAUUUGCUGAAGGCCAAACAGCUAGUGUCUGAGGUAGGAUUUGAGUUCAGACCUUCUUCUCCUGUUGAGCUCUUUCAACUUCAAACUGACUAAUAGAAAGUCAUGGGAAACUUAAGAGCAAAAGAACAACUCAAUUACUAGAUGAAAGUAGUAUUUUGGGAAGAUUAAUCUCUUUGGGUGGACAAAGUGAUACUGAAGGGGGAGAGGAGAGAAGGGGAAAUCUCUGGUCUGACUCAGGGCUGCCUGUUGAGAAACCUCCACACUCAGAACAGGAAGGGGGGCCAGAAAAUGAAGUGGCCAGAAACUGUGAGAACCUAACCCAGUGAUAAUAGCACAGGAUCUGAAGUCAAAGGCUCUAUAUUUGAAUACUGACGCUGUCAGUUACUCUCCGUGACUGGUGAAUCAUUCAAUAGCUGGCACAUGGAAAGGGAAGAAAAUGUGAAUAAGAACCAGAUGCGGGUACUCCUCACAGCAUUGGCCAGAAGACAUGGCGUGAGAACAUCAAAACCUGGAGCAAAGAAAGUAGCUGGAAGCUUUGAUGGGAGAAGAAGCACAGAGAUGCCAAAAUUGCCAGCUGUUGUGAUCCUGUUCAGCUGGGGAAGCUCAUCUCCCCUUUUAGUUCUUGGGUCUGAGCUGAGUAGCAUACCUCCCUUUCCACCAGCAUUGGGGAGCUGCAGUUAGGAUUCUUUCCUUCCAAACCUGAAAAUUGCAUAGGAAGGUGAGAGGAGGGGUUGAAUAUGACUGAAAAGGAAUGUUCCCACAAAGGCAUAUUUGAGCUACUUUCCUUUUCAGUUUUUUUUUAUGUGUGAUAAACUGAUCACAGUGUCCUGAGUCUUUGAAUCUGAAGUAAUCAGAUUGAUUCUGUUUUAUUUUUUCUAUUGAUCCUAUUUGCAAUGAUUGAUUUUGUCAUGAUUUAAGUCAUGAUUCUUUGUCUCAGAACUUAGUUCAGAAAUUCAGUGGUCCUGUAAUGAGUUAAACUGAGAAAUUCAAUUCUCUUGUUCAUCACUGUUCUGUUCUUGUGUCAAAAAAUAUAAUAGUGUUGAAGAGUGUAGGUGGACAACAGAGAGUCAUGUCUAGAAUUUUUGCUCCACCAAAGCUAUCCUCCAAGGACGUCUGGCUUAUUAUCCAAAGAAGUCUGGCCCAUUAUAUCUAACCUUGAAGGCAGAAUCAAACAACGAACAUUUCUUGGUCACAGGAGAGAAGGAGGGGGGCUAAUCUCUCAUUCCCAAUUUCUUACUGAUCUUGUUGUCCCCCACUCUUCAGCCCCCAAUCUUACUGAUUUUUACCAUAUAUGAUAUCAAGCUCUUUUAACCAAUCAUAACUUGUUUCCUGACUAUGAAGUCUCAUUCUUUGUUCUGUGCUUUACAAAAAACUAAAAAAAUGUAGCAAUUAUUCUCCAUUUUGAGGGCUUAGCCCUGCAGGAGAAGCUGAGAUUGAAUAAAUUGUA